rnacentral:lncRNA from 1 species
AAUAAAUUCAAUUUUUCAAUUAUUUUUGUUAUAAAAAAGUACUCUAUAAAUAGAUUUAAAAAAUGAAAAAAAGGAGAAUUACGUCGGUAGCAGAGUUCGAGCCAGGGCCGAACCACCUUGGCGGCGCUCGUGUCCGCAGGGCUGCGGCGGCUCGUUUGGUGCGGUGGUUCCGAACUGUAGUUAAACAUUCGCCUGGGGCUUUGACCCGCAAUGUCUCGAAGACGGUUGACCGUCUGCCGGCAAAGGGGGGUGUCACUGUAUUCAGGAAGACAUGCUCUACAACCCUAUUGGGUUUCGUCA